rnacentral:lncRNA from 1 species
GAUCGAAGUACAAGCAUGAGAUGCGUGGCACAAUCUGAGCGGAUGAUGACGAUAGAUCAAGGUGUUGAUCAGGAUCGAAUCAAGGGUGCUCAGGAUCGAAUCAAGAAUUGAAGACGAGCUAACCAAUUGAUGUACAUGUGUUUAUAAUAUAGCCCAAACUAGUUUCAUGAUCAUCACCAGUUUAAUUAUUGCUUUUAUUUAUUGCUUUACCAAUAAUUGAUAUCUGCCUGCAAUGUGCUUUAUUUGUAUGAGAUACGAAUGUGAGCUGAGUGGGGUAGAU